GUGCGUGUGCAAUAACUUACUUUUCCUUUGUAAGCCUUAAACAAUGCAGUCUUGUAAACAAUUUGCAUAGGGUAAAGUCUACAAAACGUAGUCCGCUCUGUUCGUAACAGAUUCUAGUUUUGGGAACAGAAAACUGUUGAGAAAUUAAUGUUUAAUCUUCUCCGGCCACUUGGCUUCCUAUCAAUACCAACUUUGAUAGUGAGUGGAAACGUGAAGCGGAUGCUUCACAUUUACACAUCGUGUGAAAUAUCUGUCUCAUUGUUAUAUCUGUGAUGUAUCUCCGACUUCAUUUGUUCAAGACAAUUGGCCACUCUGAAAAAAACGAGCUCCGACUGGGAUUCUACAUUUUUAGAACGGUCAUCUAAAUGGAUUUGGCCGUUCUGGCGAUCGUAAUUGACAUAGGCUUUCUAGGGCAGACCAGGACUUUUGGCACCGCAAGGUUGCUACGCAGUAACCGACAAGCAGAGUUCCUGACUUCACGCCUCACAUCGGACACUGGGGGACUUUGUAAUACGUGUUUGUAACAGUCGAUAACAGUGAGAAUAAACCGUUUGUAGCAGUGUAAUAACUGUUUAUAACCACGUACAGCACAUCUACCAAUGCACGGAUGCGUGUCAAGAGCCUAAGUUUUGUUUCAGAAUCCUCAGACCCCUGGCGGGGAGCAGCAUGGGGACAGUACUAUCUAGUUCAAUGGAAAUUAAACUAUUAUUCCAGAUAUUAUUUAAUGAAGAAUAUUUACAUUUCAAUCAAGAAGUCCUUUUAACUAAUUUAUAUUUAACAUUAUUGUUUAAAACACAUUUCGAUGUCCCGUUAUUAAAACAUUUACUGAUUGUAUCUUUUAUUUCAUUUACCCACCUUGGCAGACCACUAGAACUAAAAAAUAAGCUUCAAUCCCUCCUAUGAAAAGGGGAGGCUAAGAUCAGAGAAACUGAACGGAUCUUGCAACAGGCAAAAUACACUAUAAUGUCUGAUAUUGUGGUCAAGUAAGAGGACAACUUUUAUUUUGAAGCUAUUUCCAUUGUUAGAGCAGUCCCUCGACUAUCUUGUCAAAAAAUCUUUGCCCUCUUGAAAAAGCUGAAAGACUUCCUGUUAGCAACCAGCUCGAGUACGUUUGUGCCUGGUUACCAAAACGGAUACGAAUGGUCUUGUUUAAAAAAAAAAAAAAAACGAAUGGUCUUGUUUUGGAGACUGUGAACGUUGUUAUGGUGUUUAAAACGAGUAUUUCUAGAAAUAAACAAGGGGACAAGCCAGCUGGCCAAGUUGUGCAUACGAACUCUCUUGUUAGCGUGUAGCUAGCUGUGCUUCAAGCUAUUCACCUAACGUUUUAUAACAGUAUUUAGCUAAAUAGCUAACUUUACAGUUCGUAGCAAGCUAACGUAAUGCUAGUUUUGAUUCUGUAUUUUUUUUCAUAACUAGCUAACAUUAUCUAAAAUUAUUUACCCCGCUUUAACGUUAGCUGACCAGUUGAUUUUACGAUGAGCAAGCAAUUUACAUGUAUUGUUGAGCACCUGAAUAAAGACCCCUUCAAGAAAAACCUCAUCACCUUCGACUCACUGGAGCCAAUGCAACUGCUGGAGAUUCUCAAUUAUGUUCUGGCUGAAAUUUAAACUAAGUAAGCUAUUGAUAUCUGUGAAGAAAUGCCUGACCAAACAGCAGACCAAACAGCAGAUAAUAACAGCAGAUAAUGUUCACUUUGCUAGGGAUGUUGAAAUACAAACCACCUGGGAAUAUGUCUGAUCUACAGGAGCAGUUUCAGACAGGGCCUGGUGACCUGUGAUUCACCCUAUCCUUCACUGGUUGCUGCAGAGGAUCACAGAACUGAAGAAGAGAGCUUACCUGGCUCGCUUCCCGGUUAAGCUGGAAGUGCCUGCAGAGUUCCUGCAGGGUGGUGUCAUCACUGACACCUGUCACCAGUAUGAAGAACUAAUGGAACGAUUCAAGACCUACCAUAAGGAGUGUGAGCAACUGAAGAGCUCUGGCUUUUCCACUGCAGAGAUCAGUGGAAAAGUGUGACACCUUUUCAACCUUAGGACUUUGGUGCUAUGGAAAAGGAGAAGGACCAGCUGAUCAAUUGAGUGGAGUUGCUGAAGAAGAGGGUGGAGUCAGGGUUCAACCACCAGCGGAUGCUGGAACUGGCCAGACAACUACUUGUGGAACAGGAGAGAGAAGAGUCUCUGGCUCAGCAGAAGAACCAACUAAUGAUAUG